GCCGAAAUAGCUCAGUUGGGAGAGCGUUAGACUGAAGAUCCCGGGUUUCAAUCCCGGGUUUCGGCA
rnacentral:tRNA from 1 species